rnacentral:lncRNA from 1 species
UUUUGAUCAAUACGGUAAUACAAUAAGAGAAAAAAAAAUACGAGGAUGAACCUGAAUGCGAACAAUUUCAAUUUAAUAUGUUCAGAAAUGAAUUUAGGUAGACCGAUGUUGGAAUUUGAACGUGCAACAAAACAUGAACAGGACAUCAACAAUCGAACCGGAACCGUGAACCUCAAGCGACACUCGCCACUUCAAUCGGACUCCAUAGCAACAAGGAAUUUCCAACAGAACUAGUAUAAAACAGAACCAGAAAUCUCCGUACUAAAACGACUUCAGCAAAC